AUGAAGCGCGCGAGGGAGGAGGAGCCAGUUGUGUCUCUGGCGCUGUCGCUCAGCACGGACUCUCCGACGACGUCCAGCACGACGUCGGACAACUCGACCGGUGUCCCGGCGGCGGCCGCCAGGAAGAGGACGCGGCGGGGGAGAGUUGUGUCCACGUCUGGGGAAGGGGAGUUCGUCUGCAAGACUUGCGGCCGGGCCUUCGAGACGUUCCAGGCGCUGGGCGAGCACCGGACCAGCCAUCUGCGCGGCCGCCACGGGCUGGAGCUCGGUGUCGGCGUCGCCAGGGCCAUCAAGACCGGGCCGGAGCCCAGGAAGGCCACGGACCAGAAGCAGGGGCACCAGUGCCACGUCUGCGGGCAAGCGUUCGAGAUGGGCCAGGCGCUCGGCGGCCACAUGCGCCGGCACCGCGAGCAGGAGGCCGCCGCCGCCGCGGUGGCGCAGGCGCCGCCCGUUCUGCUCGAGCUGUUCGUCUAG
rnacentral:rRNA from 1 species